GCGAGGGAUCGCGGGGCCGCCGGGGACGGCCCGUGUGCUGAGCGCUGCGAGGAGCCGGUGCUCCGGUCGUGCUGACGGACUGCAUUUCUCACGGGUUGAUUCCCCGGGCAGCGGAAUGGCGUUGUUUUCACCGGGAAAUCGGUGGCGUUUUAAACCGAACCGCUGUGAAGUUCAAGCCCCUCGACUUAACAUGAGUUAAAUGUUAAGAGCCCUCACAUUGGCACAAGUCCUACCUGUGCCAACCAGGAGCUCCUUCCCCAGCUGGCACCAGCGUCACAGCAGCAGGACUAAGCACAGAAACUCUCUGUUAUCCACCCACCCACCUGAAAAUCCUCCUGUGAGCAUGUUUGACACACACAUCCAAUCAUUAAGGACAUUCAGGGGGAAGAUGUGCAGGCUCUGAAGAGCAGCAUCUUGAUGGCCUCAAGUUGGAGGCUCCAGUGCCCACCUUGCCUUCCUUGGCUUCCUUGCCCACCAGCCUUCCUCGGCUCUGCCCUGCCUGUCGCCCAACCCUCGCCGACGCAGCGACCAGGAAACGUGACUGCUGCCCUUGCCGUGUGCCUGGCACUGCCUGACUCAUGUUCCUGGGAUGGAAACACCUUCCCUAAUCAGCCCCUGGCACCGCCGUGCCCGUGGUGCCCCCUUUCACUGCCACCAGAGCAGUCAGAGGGGUCACAGGGAGGUCAGGCACCGCUCCAGGGGUGCCAGUGUGAUUUUGGCUGCUGCACAGACAGACCCUGUGCAGUCCCCAACCUCUGCUGGGUGCAAUCUCACCACCAGUUCUCUCUCCUUCUGGCUCACAACUGGAAGUUGACUCCUUCCAGCUCUUGAGAAAGACAUUGGAAUGGGAGAAGAUACAAGUUCCAUUCUCUCAGCUGCUUGAAGCCUUAAUGACCUUCCCUGGGCACGACCAGGAAAGCACUAGUGGCAGGAGACACCAGCCUUGGGCUUCAGGGCUGUUUUGGUGACUCCCUGUCAAAAAUCUGAGCACGAACACACCUCUUACACACCCACUUCUCCCUGCUGGGCUCCCUGGGGGACGGAGCAGGGCUGGCUGAGGUGGUUUGGCCCCCUUGGCUGAAGGGCUGAGGCAGCACCUUCAUUACCAGCUUCCAGGAGAGCCACUCCUGCCAAGGAUCUGCUGUGGCUCCACAUGAAAACACCCUGUUAAAAAGCCACUGGGUGCAAAGUCCUUUCCACAGCUGACUCCUCCUCGUUGUUCCUGACAAAAACAGCCCCAGGGUUCCACCUCUUGGAUCCUGCUGUGCUUGGGAUGGUGGCCUUUUAGUGCCACAUGGGGCUGCUGGUCCAUCUGCUCUCCAUGAGCUCUCAGGAAGGGCUGGAAGGACCUACUGGGAACUUGGCUUCAUGCUGGAGGAAAGAGAGACCAUUAAAAAAAUAAUGAUUCUGAAAGUGUGUGCAGGGAAGGGAACGGAGCUGGGAAGGGGCUGGAGCAGCAGGAGCAGCUGAGGGAGCUGGGGGGGCUCAGCCUGGAGAAAAGGAGGCUCAGGGGGGACCUUCUGGCUCUACAACUCCCUGGCAGGAGGGGGGAGCUAAAGGGGUGUCAGGCUCUGCUCCCAGGGAACAAGGGACAGGACAAGUGGAAACAGUCACAGGUUGCACCAUGUGUAGUUUGGAUAUUGAGAAUAAUUCCUUCCUGGAAAGGGGUGUCCAGCCCUGGCACAGCUGCCCAGGGCAGUGGUGGAGUCCCCAUCCCUGGAGGGAUUUCAAAUCCCUGUGGAUGUGGCACUUGGGGACAGGGGUCAGUGGUGGCCUUGGCAGUGCUGGGGGAUGGUUGGACUGAUGAUCUCAGAGGGCUUUUCCAGCCUUCAUGACUGUGAUUUUAUGGAAGCACAAAGGCCCUCGUCCUGACAUUUACAAGAAGAGAAAUGCCUCAGUCCAACAUUUGGGCUCUUCUUCAGUAUCCCCUUUCUUUUCAAAGCCUGUUCCCUGUUUUUGAUGCUCCCCAUCAGUGGGGAUGCCCCUGGAGCACCUUACACGUUGCUUACUCACAGCCAGACUCGCACUGGAGGCUGUUGGAGCAGGAAUGCACUGAAUCUCUAAGUUCAUGGCUGAGGAACUGAGUUAAAUUAUCUUCAAUUAUCUUGUCUUGCACUUCCCAGGCGUCACAAACUGAGAUGUGUCACAAACUGCACAGCGGCACCGGGAGGCUCCGGGACGGGGAGCUCUGGAAGAGCUUCACACCAACAGCUACAGGAGAGCUGCUCCUUUUUCAUAGGAUAAUAUUCCACCUCUUCUAUGGAGACAGGCUGAGAGAGUUGGGAUUGUUCAGCUCCAGGGAGAUCUUGGAGCCCCUUCCAGUGCCUGGAGAUAUUCCAGAGCCGUCUGGAUGCAAUCCUGUGCCGUGUGCUCUGGGAUGAUCCUGCCUGAGCAGGGAGGUUGGACCAGUUGACCUGCUGUGGUGCCUUCCAACCUGCCUCAUUCUGGGAACAUUCUGUGAAUAAAGGGGCUCCAGGAGAGCUGGAGAGGGUCUUGGGACAAGUGACAGGACAAAGGAAGAUGCUUUUAAGCUGAAAGAGGGUGGAUUUAAAUUGAAUAUUAGGAAGCAAUUCUUCCCUGUGAGGGUGGUGGGGCCCUGGCACAGGUUGCCCAGAGAAGCUGUGGCUGCCCCUGGAUCCCUGCAAGUGUCCAAGGCCAGGUUGCAGCAAUCUGGGACAGUGGAAGGUGUCCCAUGGCAGGGGGUGGAAUGAGAUGGUCUUUAAGGCCCCUUCCAACCCAAAACCAUCCACAAUUCCAUGAUUCUAUAAACCAGAUUAGCACUGGAGCAGCAGCAUUUAGCACUGAGCAUGACCUGGGCAGGCUGUUGGCUUCCCUGAGUGAAGUUAUGCUGGUUUAAAUCAACUUAAUACCUGGCUGGGGACUGUGUUGGCAGAACAAAUGCAAACCCUGUUGUUGAGCCACCUCAGGCUAAUUGAGUCUCCUCGACCACAGAUCCUCUGGGAUCCGGAGCCACACAUUUAUAGAAAGUUUAUGAAACUCCUCUUUAUCCAAACUUUUACACGUGGACUUGUAAUUAAGAGGAUGAAUGGUCCGGGUGACUUCCAUGGGAGGGGCUGGAUGUGGAGUUCAACUGGUGCCUGGAGCCUAAGGAGAGUGGAACUUCCCCAUGGGCUGCUCUGUGCCCUAUUGAAACAGCACAGAAGGAACUGUGGGUUUAGAUUAUAUCAUUUUGCUUCCUCCUGUCGUGACAGGACAAACCAGUAAGGAGUUACUGGUUUUAAACUGAAACCAGUUCCCCCAAACGCCUCUUGCACCUCAGCACAAAAUAGUUGGGCAAAGUAUAAUCAGGAUAAUAAAGCCCAGCUUAAUAAUAGCACUGGAACAGGUAUUUUGCUAGGGGUUGCACUGGAGAGUAAGAAAUGCCUGAAAGAGGGGGAAAAACAUACAGAACACACACAAAAUACAGGGAUGAAUUCUUAUGGAUAGAGCAAGCAGGACUGUGGAAUCACAGAAAAAAAGAGGGUGGGAGAAACCUCUGGGUCCAACUCUCCCCCACUUCCUCCAAGCAGCUCAAACCACCUCAGAGAAAUAUUUGGGGCUUGAAAAUAAGUGACUAAUCAACCCCUCUGACCACUAAAUCAAGAUUAAUGGUUUCAUGCAAGUUAAGUGCAGCAGAGCUGCAGAUACCUGCACAUUACAGGGCUUAGCAGGGGAUUAAACCAGUCUUAGGAGGCAAAGAACCUCGGCAGCCUGUUUGUUGCUCCAUGGUGUAACUCCAUCAGGAGCAGUAACACCAGGGCAUGGUUUUUUGGGAGGCCCAGGGCAGAGGAAUAAACUGUUUGGAGCAGACCUGCAGCAGCCUUGGCUCCGUGGGGUGAGUGGCUGCAAAAUCCUGGGGUGUGAGGGGGCAGGAAGGGAGAGGGGAGUGAGGAGAGAAGGAAGCAGAUGGGAUAACAGUGUUUGGUGUGGGAUUUAUGACAGGUCACGGAGCUGGAGGCAGGGAGGGACUGUGAACUCAGGGAGGGUGAUUUCCUGCACCCACAGCUUUUGGUUCCAUCCUGCUGCCCCUGCCUGGGCUGUAAAUGUUACUCCCACCCCAUCCACGGCCCCAGAGGGUCUCACAUCUCCAGGCUUCCGGGUGCUGCUGGGCAAGCUCAGGUCUGUGGCACAAUUUGGGGUGAUGGCACUGCAAUCUCAGCCCUGUGCAGCUGUUCAAGGAGGCACAAUGUUUGGCUCAAGAGGGAUAUUGCUGUGGAAUCCCUUGGGCUCCUUUGGAGGAAACUGUUUCAUUAUAAUUCAGAAAGGCCUGGGGAGCUGGGUUAGUUUUUUAAUUCUUUCCUGUUUAAAUAAAUAAAUAUUUUUUAAAAGUAAAAUGUUGUAAUUUAUAAAAAAAUAAUAAUAAUGAAAGGUUUUUUGACUUUU